AUGAACGCUAGCGGGAGGCCUAACACAUGCAAGCCGAGCGGUAUUUGUCCUUCGGGACAGAGAGAGCGGCGUACGGGUGCGGAACACGUGUGCAACCUGCCUUUAUCUGGGGGAUAGCCUUUCGAAAGGAAGAUUAAUACCCCAUAAUAUAUCGAAUGGCAUCAUUCGAUAUUGAAAACUCCGGUGGAUAGAGAUGGGCACGCGCAAGAUUAGAUAGUUGGUGAGGUAACGGCUCACCAAGUCAGUGAUCUUUAGGGGGCCUGAGAGGGUGAUCCCCCACACUGGUACUGAGACACGGACCAGACUCCUACGGGAGGCAGCAGUGAGGAAUAUUGGACAAUGGGUGAGAGCCUGAUCCAGCCAUCCCGCGUGAAGGACUAAGGCCCUAUGGGUUGUAAACUUCUUUUAUACUGGGAUAAACCCACUUACGUGUAAGUAGCUGAAGGUACAGUAUGAAUAAGCACCGGCUAACUCCGUG
rnacentral:rRNA from 1 species